rnacentral:lncRNA from 1 species
CAUCUCUGGUUCUGAGAUGGCGCUGUCUUCCCUCUGUGUCUCUGCCUCCGUUUGCCGGUCUGAGAGACGAGGGUUUUCUGGAACCUGUUCCCCAUCGGCAGCCUUGACUACUGGUGACGCAGCUCCACUCUUCCACCCGUCAGCGCCUGUCACUAGGAAGUUCUUGGGCACACUUCCAACAGCAUUCACUUCUGUGCUCCAGGAAAAGUAAGUUUCUUACUCUGACAUGGCAUGCACAAGUAGAGUUUAUCUUUCCAGCUGGCUGCUGAAGUUAUUUUAGACUCUAGUUAAAUCGAACCAGAAAUAAUUCCUCUGUUGCUACUUCCUCU